ACGGGUGAGUAAUACGUGAGUAACCUGCCUUUGACUCUGGGAUAAGCCUGGGAAACUGGGUCUAAUACCGGAUAUGACAAGGAACCGCAUGGUUUUUUGUGGAAAGGGUUUGUACUGGUUUUAGAUGGGCUGACGGCCUAUCAGCUUGUUGGUGGGGUAAUGGCUCACCAAGGCGACGACGGGUAGCCGGCCUGAGAGGGUGACCGGCCACACUGGGACUGAGACACGGCCCAGACUCCUACGGGAGGCAGCAGUGGGGAAUAUUGCACAAUGGGCGCAAGCCUGAUGCAGCGACGCCGCGUGAGGGAUGACGGCCUUCGGGUUGUAAACCUCUUUCAGCAGGGAAGAAGCGAAAGUGACGGUACCUGCGGAAGAAGCGCCGGCUAACUACGUGCCAGCAGCCGCGGUAAUACGUAGGGCGCGAGCGUUGUCCGGAAUUAUUGGGCGUAAAGAGCUUGUAGGCGGUUUGUUGCGUCUGCUGUGAAAGACCAGGGCUUAACCCCGGUAUUGCAGUGGGUACGGGCAGACUAGAGUGCAGUAGGGGAGACUGGAAUUCCUGGUGUAGCGGUG
rnacentral:rRNA from 1 species